AGGUGGCAUAAUAGAGACAAGACCUGAUAGAAAGCCAUUGACAGCCUGACACCUUCUCUUUCCUAAAGGAGUCAAACACAGCAAUGCAAACCUUGAGACUUCAUCACUGUCAAAUCAUGCAAAAAUGAAGGGGGAAGGCAAUCUGGCAGUCUGGAACAGAAGACCUAAUUUCUACAGACAUGGCGUAAGAACAAAUCGCCCAAGUUUUGGGAGAACUGGGGAUUUAAAGGAAACCAGAUAAAGUUCAAGAGCCUACCAAAACAAAGGGGAAAGAAGAGUCCAGGAGUUCCUGACUUUGAACAACUCAUUUCAUCUCCCCCAAACCAUGCAUUCCUGGAAUGCAAAGAAUAGUACACUGGCAUUCUUAGGAUGAAAGCUGUAUUUUUGAAUUAAAGCAUAAAAAAACA